rnacentral:tRNA from 1 species
CGGGGUGUAGCUCAGUCUGGUUGAGCGCUACGUUCGGGACGUAGAGGUCGCAGGUUCGAAUCCUGUCUCCCCGACCA